GUACGUGUUCUAUAUAAACCACCC
rnacentral:siRNA from 1 species